rnacentral:rRNA from 1 species
UACGUAGGGGGGCUAGCGUUGUCCGGAAUCAUUGGGCGUAAAGCGCGUGUAGGCGGUCCGGUAAGUCCGCUGUGAAAGUCGGGGGCUCAACCCUCGGAUGCCGGUGGAUACUGUCGGGCUUGAGUACGGAAGAGGCGAGUGGAAUUCCUGGUGUAGCGGUGAAAUGCGCAGAUAUCAGGAGGAACACCAAUUGCGAAGGCAGCUCGCUGGGACGUUACUGACGCUGAGGAGCGAAAGCCAGGGGAGCAAACGGG